rnacentral:rRNA from 1 species
GGGAGCGUAGACGGCAGUGCAAGCCAGAAGUGAAAGCCCGGGGCUCAACCGCGGGACUGCUUUUGGAACUGCACGGCUGGAGUACAGGAGAGGUAAGCGGAAUUCCUAGUGUAGCGGUGAAAUGCGUAGAUAUUAGGAGGAACACCAGUGGCGAAGGCGGCUUACUGGACUGAGACUGACGUUGAGGCUCGAAAGCGUGGGGAGCAAA